rnacentral:pre_miRNA from 1 species
UACGUACUCCCUCCGUCCGGAAAUACUUGUCGAAGAAAUGCAUAAAAAUGGAUGUAUCUAGAACUAAAAUACGUCUAGAUACAUCCAUUCCUCCGACAAAUAUUUCCGGACGGAGGGAGUACAAG